rnacentral:rRNA from 1 species
GGCCCUUCGGGGUACUCGAGUGGCGAACGGGUGAGUAACACGUGGGUGAUCUGCCCUGCACUUUGGGAUAAGCCUGGGAAACUGGGUCUAAUACCGAAUAGGACCACGCGCUUCAUGGUGUGUGGUGGAAAGCUUUUGCGGUGUGGGAUGGGCCCGCGGCCUAUCAGCUUGUUGGUGGGGUAAUGGCCUACCAAGGCGACGACGGGUAGCCGGCCUGAGAGGGUGACCGGCCACACUGGGACUGAGAUACGGCCCAGACUCCUACGGGAGGCAGCAGUGGGGAAUAUUGCACAAUGGGCGCAAGCCUGAUGCAGCGACGCCGCGUGAGGGAUGACGGCCUUCGGGUUGUAAACCUCUUUCAGUAGGGACGAAGCGCAAGUGACGGUACCUAUAGAAGAAGCACCGGCCAACUACGUGCCAGCAGCCGCGGUAAUACGUAGGGUGCGAGCGUUGUCCGGAAUUACUGGGCGUAAAGAGCUCGUAGGUGGUUUGUCGCGUUGUUCGUGAAAACUCACAGCUUAACUGUGGGCGUGCGGGCGAUACGGGCAGACUAGAGUACUGCAGGGGAGACUGGAAUUCCUGGUGUAGCGGUGGAAUGCGCAGAUAUCAGGAGGAACACCGGUGGCGAAGGCGGGUCUCUGGGCAGUAACUGACGCUGAGGAGCGAAAGCGUGGGGAGCGAACAGGAUUAGAUACCCUGGUAGUCCACGCCGUAAACGGUGGGUACUAGGUGUGGGUUCCUUCCUUGGGAUCCGUGCCGUAGCUAACGCAUUAAGUACCCCGCCUGGGGAGUACGGCCGCAAGGCUAAAACUCAAAGGAAUUGACGGGGGCCCGCACAAGCGGCGGAGCAUGUGGAUUAAUUCGAUGCAACGCGAAGAACCUUACCUGGGUUUGACAUGCACAGGACGCCGGCAGAGAUGUCGGUUCCCUUGUGGCCUGUGUGCAG